CCAAGAACGUACCUGUGCACGGUACAAUCUGGCUAUCCAUCCUAUUGCAAACUCUGCAAAGGAAGAUGCCGUAUCAAUGUGUCGUGAAUACGGAAUGCAAGUACUCAGGGAGAAAUGGGCCAAUAAGUUGGAAUCGAAAGAGUGUUUCCAGAACGAACUAAGAAAGCUUCAAAUUGCUGGUGUCCAGAAUGUCUGGGUAUGGAAGAAGCAGGUUGACAGAUUUCUGGAGUACAAUGUACAGACUAAAACCACCCAGGCACCUGCACAGACUCUGAAUGCCUACAUAUGUGCUAGUAAAGUCCACGAGUACUAGCGAGCUCCAACGACGGACCCACGUUAGGAUAGUUGGCUGUCAUUUUCAUGUUCCACGUCCAGUCUCCUGAAUGUGUGCUGCUGCAGCUGGUGUACAGGUGGCACUGCUGUGGCAUGAAACCUGCUUUGCGGAGCUUUGGUGUCUAUGUUGCUUAGGAAAACUUGUAUGCAUGUGCUCAGCAGAUUUUUUUCUCCUCUUUUUCUUUUUUUUUGCGGGUUCUCAUUUGGUCCUGCACCCUUCUCUUUGUUCGAUUUGUGCAUUGUUUCUUUUUGUCCAUGGCCAUCACUAUGACUCCUGACAGCGAAGACUGGAAUGUUAGAUAAUCCUACAGAUUCUAUAUUAGUGUGAAAACAGAGAGCAUACUUGAGUGAAUUGACUUGCCUUCAAGAGAUUUAUGUAGGCACAUUUUGUUCCGGUUGGACUUACAUGUGGACAACAUCAUUCGCAGAUGAAUCUAUAUACAAAUGUAUAUUUA